rnacentral:rRNA from 1 species
AACGAACGCUGGCGGCGUGCCUAACACAUGCAAGUCGAACGUGAUUAGAGAGCUUGCUCUCUAUGAAAGUGGCGCACGGGUGAGUAACGCGUAGAUAAUCUACCUGAUGAUUCGGGAUAACACUUCGAAAGGGGUGCUAAUACCGGAUAAGCCCACGGAGUCCUUGGACUCUGCGGGAAAAGGGGGGGAUCGCAAGACCUUCCGUCAUCAGAUGAGUCUGCGUACCAUUAGCUAGUUGGUAGGGUAAAGGCCUACCAAGGCGACGAUGGUUAGCUGGUCUGAGAGGAUGAUCAGCCACACUGGAACUUAGACACGGUCCAGACUCCUACGGGAGGCAGCAGUGGGGAAUUUUGCGCAAUGGGGGAAACCCUGACGCAGCAACGCCGCGUGAGUGAUGAAGGCCCUUGGGUCGUAAAGCUCUGACAGAGGGAAAGAAAUGCAGGGGAGCUAAUAUCUCUUUUGCUUGACGGUACCCUCAAAGGAAGCACCGGCUAACUCCGUGCCAGCCGCCGCCGUAAUAC